GAUGUUGGCAGCAAAAUCGAGGGCGCGACUACUUGGCUGCUCUUUUUGCGCGUUCGCCGUCGAAAGCAGGCAAAACGUAAUGUCGGCUGGCGAGACAUUGAGCUACAACAUUCACUCACAUAAUAUGACUAAUGAUGACAUGGAAGCAAGAGUUUCUUGUCUUUUUCAUGGAAUGGGGGUAUGCCACAAUGGGUGAGUUUCAAAGUCUAAGACUUGCGUCUUGACUUAAGGAUAAAGACUUGAGACUGAUUUGUGACUAACAAAGUCUUGUGAGUUGAAGUCAAGACAUGCAAGUCCCAAGUCAAGUCGCAAGUCCUGUCCUGCUGUGGAUGGACUUUGAGUAUCAAAGUCGAGGACUUGCGACUUAACUUAAGGAAAAGACUUGAGACUUACUUACAAAGCAGUGACUCUGCCAUUGUGUUAUGAUACCAGGUAUAGAUACCAGGUUUAUUUCAAAGUAGUGGCUACUAAUGAAGGCUGCUGAUACCAGCCACCAUUGCUUUGGUUGCAAUCACGUGAUAAUCGCCGCUAUUUCUACAGGCAAGCUAGGCGUUGUGGACGACAUCACCAUGGCAACGUCCACAGACCCAUGUGUAAGCGGCGAGCGGCGGAUGUUUUCUGCCAACUUUAAUUCACUUGAUGAUGGCGCCAAAGCUAGAUACGUACAGAAGAUCAAACUCUGUGAAGAUAUCGAUCCGUAUACUCUCCACAACGACGUACUUUCAAAGGAUCUGAAAGACUUCCCUGAAGUAGAAUAUCCGGACACUAGAAAUACACAUGCUGACUGCUUACAAAAUGAUCAGAACAGACUUUCAAAUAACCAUUUGCCUUGUGUUCUCGAGCUUCGUUCAGAUCUGCACGUCGUAUAUUUGCAAGCCACUUUUGUUGCCGUUUUUUUCGAUAACCCCAUUGUAUGUUCUCCUUCAUGCAAUCUAAUCUUUGGAACAUGGGAAAAAAAAAAUCGCUUCCCAAUGUCUCCGUUUACGCAAUUUCCACAUCUGUCGACGCAACAAAAAUCUGGCAUGAUGACGACGGAGACCUGACUGCUUGUCUGCAACAAUGGCGGUCAAGUACCCGGAUGAACAACCGUGAUGUCAAGAGCAACCCAGCCAUACUUGAGGCAAAAGAAAUCUGGCAUCCAGCAGCAGAAACUCAUUUCUGCUAGUCUGUUGUUCUUCUUUUUCUUCUUUCGGCUUGUCCCGUUAGGGGUCGCCACAGCGUGUCAUCUUUUUCCAUCUAAGCCCAUCUCGUGCAUCCUCCUCUCUAAUACCCACUUGCCUCAUGUCCUCCCUCACCACAUCCAUCAACCUUUUCUUUGGUCUUCCUCUCGCUGUUUUGCCAGGCAGCUCCAUCCUCAGCACCCUUCUACCAACAUACUCACUCUCGCACCUCUGAACAUGUCCAAACAAUCGAAGUCUGCUCUCUCUAACCUUGUCUCCAAAACAUCCAACUUUGGCUGUCCCUGCUGCUCUGCUGUGUUGAAAGCAAUUGUCACUGUCCGACAACGAUUUUACAGGUAACAGCAAAUGCUGGCAACUUUCUGCUUAUUAAGGACCUACCAGACCUGUAACCGAGGCGGGAAGCCGUUUGUGAACCGGAUGUUGUCAACUUUUCAGCUUUGGAGGUUGCAUCACCACCGUAAUAGAGGCUGGAUUCUGCUUAUGUGAAAAGAUAACGUGGCUGCCGCCUAGCAGGAGAUAGCAAGAACAAAAAUAUCUAAAUCAUCAGAACUGUUAGAACCAGGAGCACCUGCUGCCUGUUAAAUAAAUGAUGACCACACAUGUACUCAGCAAUCUUCCACACACAUGAACAAACAAGUACACUUUGUUUCCAACUACGUUUUGCUUGCUGUCUCCUUUUUGUAACAUCCAUGUAAAUAACAGGCAUCUUGAAAUUGAAUAAAUAGAGGUGCUGAGGAGAAGAUAAUAAGAGAGUGCAGUGGUGAAUUGUACGAGACAGUUCCUCUCCUCUCUCCUCGCGAGACUUGAACUGGUGUCUUUACUUCCUUUUUUUUGUCCAGUUUAAUGAAUGUCUAAUUGGUAAACCUGACAAAAGGGUAUUCUGUAAAAAGCUGACAAUUACUUUUCUGAUGCUGUCGUGCCGAAAGCAAUCGUCACCAUUAUGUCACACUAUACCACAGGUGUCGAGCUCAAGGCCCAGGGGGCCAGAUCCGGCCCGCCAUAUAGCUUUAUGUGGGACGCGAAGGCAAAUCAUGUUUGUAAACGUCCAGGAUUUUUGUUAAAAUUUCUAAUCGCCAUGUCAGAAAUUACAACUUGGUAUUGAUAUUGCAAGCAUUUUUCUGUUACCAAGCAUGAACAAUAGUCGAAAAACCCAUUUACCUUGAUUUCUGAUUCCAAAACUAAUUCAUAAAUUGCAUGUGUAAAUAUAAUGAGGAGAUUAAAAAUUUUGAUUGUUUCACAAUCAUGACGGCCCUCUGAGGGAAUCCGCAACUACAAUGUGGCACGUGGCAAAAAUGAGUUUGACACCCCUGCACUAUACGCUAGCAAGUUUCCAUCCCUCUCAAUUACACCUAAAGAAGGGGGAUACAU